rnacentral:rRNA from 1 species
GACGAACGCUGGCGGCGUGCUUAACACAUGCAAGUCGAACGGUGAAGCGCCUUCCUUUUUGGUGGGUGUGGAUGAGUGGCGAACGGGUGAGUAACACGUGAGUAACCUGCCCCCUUCUUCUGGAUAACCGCAUGAAAGUGUGGCUAAUACGGGAUAUUCUGGCUCUGUCGCAUGAUGGGUCUGGGAAAGAUAUUGUUUCGGUGGGGGAUGGGCUCGCGGCCUAUCAGCUUGUUGGUGGGGUGAUGGCCUACCAAGGCGGUGACGGGUAGCCGGCCUGAGAGGGUGGACGGUCACACUGGGACUGAGACACGGCCCAGACUCCUACGGGAGGCAGCAGUGGGGAAUAUUGCACAAUGGGCGCAAGCCUGAUGCAGCGACGCCGCGUGAGGGAUGGAGGCCUUCGGGUUGUGAACCUCUUUCGCCAGUGAAGCAGGCCUGCCUCGUUUGUGGGUGGGUUGACGGUAGCUGGAUAAGAAGCGCCGGCUAACUACGUG